rnacentral:rRNA from 1 species
AGGGUGUAAACGCUGCAGACUUGGUGUUGGGAACCCUUCGGGGUGCUCAGUGCCGGAGAGAAGUUGUUAAGUCUGCUACUUGGGAGUACGUCCGCAAGGAUGAAACUUAAAGGAAUUGGCGGGGAGCACCGCAACGGGAGGAGCGUGCGGUUUAAUUGGAUUCAACGCCGAAAAACUCACCAGCAGCGACUGUUACAUGAAAGUCAGGUUGAUGACCUUACUAGAUUUUCAGAGAGGAGGUGCAUGGCGUCAGUGACU